rnacentral:lncRNA from 1 species
CUCUGCUGUAGGCCCGGCAAGGCCCCCAGUGAUUACGCUAACUGACUGCGAAAAUGCACAGAGGAGCCCGGCCUCAGCCUCUUCAAUCUAAUCCAAUCUUAAGGAAUGGCAGCUCUGAGUAGCACCGACUGGAUAAUUAUUGGCGCUGACAAGGUGAGGGCGUUUGCAGGCAAAUGAGCGGGGAAGCAACCCUCAGUCCCCAGACCACCCAGGGCCCGGGCCGCGCUGCUGCUCCGUGUCGGGCCGGCGGCCGGGGGGACCCUGCCCCGCCUGAAUAUCAUGUAAAUUCAUGACCGGCAGUGCGCGUCCUCCCAGCCCAGAGCGAGCCGCGUGCGUGCAGCUCCGGAGGCCCCGCCGGCCCACUUGGGCCCCACCCCUGUCCCCAGGCCCCAGACCUGCCGCUGACGCCCCAGGGGUACCCAGAGCCCAGGGAGCCAGGAGCUGGAGGAAGUCACGUGGGCGCUGGGUGGGUGCCCAGCUGGAAGGGCAGCUCCGGCCUUUUGGGGGGACCCUGGGCAGUGUGUACCCUAGAGGUCCCUGGGCCGUGACGGGCAGGGAUGCCAGGCCCUGUGCACCACAGGAAACAUGCAAAGCAUUCUCGCAGGCUGCCAGUGCCUUGGGCUGACACUGGAAGGGAAACAAAAACAAAGCUGCCCCACACAACCUAACUUGGCCCAGGAUCCCCAGCAAGGGUCGCCAGGGACAUGGCUGCAGGGCGCUAGGAGGGACAGUUGCCACUUGAGGUCCCAGGCUGGGGCCAGGCUGUGGUCAGAGCUACUGGCCAGCUGGGCCCUUCUCUCUCAAACUUGAAAUCCUCUGGAAGCUCCUGGAGAGAAUUACUUUUCUUUAUGCUGUGGGCACUCGGAACUGGGAGGCUGUUUCAUCUGGGGUCUGAUACUCCCUCCCUGCCUCUCCCACCCAGCCUACCGCACUUCUGCCUCUCCCACCCGGCCUCGAGGGAGGGCUUGCAGGAGGAGGGUGAGGAAGUUACUCCCCUACGUCCUGCCCGGGGUGGGCUACAGAGCACAGGCCCUGCAGGGAGUCUCUCCAUGUUAUGAUGGGACGCAUGAAGCCUGUCCAGUGCCCAAGACCCUCCCUCGAUGGUGCAGGCCUGGGGACUCUCUGUGGGAGCUCAGCCUGGUGGUGGAGACUCAGGCUUUUUGCAAAGGCAAUGGGAUCUAAAAACAGGGACUAUGCAGACUGUGCACGUUCGUCCUGAAAUGUUCCCUUCAGCCAGAGGAACUCACCAAGCUCUGGAGUUUUAGAGGGGAUUUUGGAGCUGUCUGACCAGGGCUGAGCUCCCGGCUCCGUCUGCCUGACUCUGUUGGUUCUUAGUUGGCCUUGUGUUUAGCUCCCACCUUCCUCAACGGCAUAUCUGGAGCCUCGCCCUUGGGGGCUUAGUGGGAAGGAGGGCUGGAGUGAGGGCUGUGGCUGGAAAGAGCAAGGAGGCACCUCCUACAAGAUGCUCACCUGGCUCCUGCUGCUCUUGUCUGGGCCUACAGGACACAGGUUUUGGGUGGGGUGGCAGGUGGCCGACUGCCCUUGAAGGAAACCAAGCACCUGCCAUGGAAUCUUCAGGCCAGGACAGAGCCAACUGGCGCAGGAGGUCCACCUGCCCUGUCUGGUUCCUGACAAGGAAGAGAAUUUUCGCUUUCCUAUUAAGGUCAGCUAGCAAAGCAAUGCUUGUCCUGUCUCAGGAGAGGAACAACUCUAGCCCCAUUGCUCUAAGGGCAGCACAGGUAUCUUCUUGGAUUGAGCUGCCCCAAUUCUGCAGGUUUAACUCAAAGUUCCUUGGGACCCACCUGAAGCAGAUGGGGGAAAAACCACCUUUCAGGCCCAGAAAGAUAAAGAAUCUAAGAAGGUUCCAGUAAGACCUUUCGUGCAUUUUGGCCAGAACAAAUCUUAUAUACCGUGCAGGCACUGAAGGCUUUUCCAUGCCAGCACUGACAGCCAAAGGACUUCAGAGGCGCCUGAGAGUCUGUGUGUAGGUGCAUGUGUAUAUUGUGUAUGUGUGCACAUAUGCAUAUGUGUGCAUGCAUGUAAGCAUAUAUGUACACAUCUGUGUGUACAUACAUGAGCGUGCACUUGUAUAUGUAGGAUUGUGUGGGCUCGU